rnacentral:rRNA from 1 species
UGCGUAGGUGGCCCAGAAAGUUGGGUGUGAAAGCCCUCGGCUCAACCGAGGAAUUGCGCCCAAAACUACUGGGCUUGAGGAAGACAGAGGUGAGCGGAACUUAGGGUGGAGCGGUGAAAUGCGUUGAUAUCCUAAGGAACACCAGUGGCGAAAGCGGCUCACUGGGUCUUUUCUGACGCUGAGGCACGAAAGCUAGGGGAGCGAAGA